rnacentral:rRNA from 1 species
GUACACGAGCGGCGAACGGGUGAGUAACACGUGAGCAACCUGCCCCUGACUCCGGGAUAAGCGGUGGAAACGCCGUCUAAUACCGGAUACGACCCUCCGCCUCAUGGCGGCGGGUGGAAAGUUUUUUCGGUCGGGGAUGGGCUCGCGGCCUAUCAGCUUGUUGGUGGGGUAACGGCCUACCAAGGCGAUUACGGGUAGCCGGCCUGAGAGGGCGACCGGCCACACUGGGACUGAGACACGGCCCAGACUCCUGCGGGAGGCAGCAGUGGGGAAUCUUGCGCAAUGGGCGGAAGCCUGACGCAGCGACGCCGCGUGGGGGAUGACGGCCUUCGGGUUGUAAACCUCUUUUACCACUCACGCAGGCCCCGGGUUUUCUCGGGGUUGACGGUAGGUGGGGAAUAAGGACCGGCUAACUACGUGCCAGCAGCCGCGGUAAUACGUAGGGUCCGAGCGUUGUCCGGAAUUAUUGGGCGUAAAGAGCUCGUAGGCGGCGUGUCGCGUCUGCUGUGAAAGGCCGGGGCUUAACUCCGGUUUUGCAGUGGAUACGGGCAUGCUAGAGGUAGGUAGGGGAGACUGGAAUUCCUGGUGUAGCGGUGAAAUGCGCAGAUAUCAGGAGGAACACCGGUGGCGAAGGCGGGUCUCUGGGCCUUACCUGACGCUGAGGAGCGAAAGCGUGGGGAGCGAACAGGAUUAGAUACCCUG